AGAACACAGACAUUUUUGAAUGCCUCUGCACUAUGAUAAAGGAACAAAGUAUACACUCUAAAACCUUCUCCUGCUCACCUUCAAAGGCACUAAGACUUGGGAGGCUAUGAACUACUGAGCUAGUGUACUGCCUGACCUCUCACCAAAGCUUAAUAACUAUAAGAGAAAUCUCCUGAGCUUGGAGAGGUCUUGAAUGAAGAAGUCUACAUGUUUCAGGGGGUGUCUACUACAGUUUAUACACUCCUUUCUCUCAGCUUCCUGAGUGUAAGCACUUUGUGACCCGGAGCUUCCCUUUCAAUUUGGCUUCCAAUGUUGCCUUGGUUGUGACAUGUAUUUUGAAAAGCAAUGAAGAAAUGAAUGAAACCAGCACGAUGCAGCCUCCGCAUUGUCCUUGUAGCUUUAUCUCAGGAUGUAGCCAUCUUACAAUUAAAAAAAAAUCUACUUCUCUUUUGGGACUUCAAAUACCUUCAAAAUGAACAAACACAAAGUAACCGCUUCAACGCAGAGCAAGACCAAAUAAGGAUGAAGACCAUCUCUGGUGAAGUUAAUGAGAGCAGUUACAUUUGAGAAGAAAUGUAUCAUGUUGGUUGUUUCUGUUUGAAGAAAGCCUAUUUCGAAGGACAAUACUGCUUUUCAUCUGUCUUAUGUCUGUUUGCCUGGGAAUUCUUCCUGCUAGGUCAAGCUUAUCCUUUUGCCAAGCCUAAUAACCCAACUCUGGAGAGAGAUAGAGCCCUCUUUACUAGUUGUACAUGAACCAUUUGUACACUGGCUUAGAAUGCCUGGGUGAUCUUUCCUUGUAAGUUCCUCUACACUACAUCUGUCCAAAGUGAGACUAGUCUGACGCUGUUAUGUCACAUUUAAGUAUCAGGCAGUGGAUAGAGUGCCCCACCUGGAGUCAGGAGGACUCAUCAUCCUGGAUUCAAAUCUGGCCUUAGACA